rnacentral:rRNA from 1 species
AUGAUCGCAGCCUGUGAGCUGGCCAAAGCAAAAAUCGAGUUGAUGGAACAAGUGUUCUUGAAUGAGAAACAGGUUCUUCCGAAGCUAAGCGGUGAUCGGGACAUCUCCUGGUACUUGGACACCGGAGCAAGCAAUCAUAUGACCGGUUGCCGCGACAAGUUUGCAGAGCUUGAUGAGGCAGUAAACGGCAAGGUCAAAUUUGGCGAUGGCUCUGCUGUGGACAUCCGUGGACGAGGUUCAGUUCUCUUGAAGUGUCUCAUGGGUGAGCACCGGGUUCUGGCGGAUGUAUACUUCAUUCCUCGACUUAAGAACAACAUCAUCAGUUUGGGCCAGCUAGAUGAAAAUGGAUGCAAGUAUGCAAGUGAGGAUGGAGUAAUGACCGUGUGGGACAGAGAAAGAAAUGUUCUUGCACGAGUGAAUAGGACCAAGAACAGGAUGUAUAUACUGAACAUCCAGCCCACUGAACCUGUGUGUCUGCUUGCUCACGCUAAGGAUCAAGCAUGGUUGUGGCACAUGAGGUAUGGACAUGUAAAUUUCAGGUCACUUCGUACACUUGCAGCAGAAGAGAUGUUACAUGGCAUGCCGUACCUCGACUAG